CUCUUUUCAUUCUCACGGUUGCUCUCUCCUUCCUAUCUCUUAUUCAUUCUUUUCUUCCCCAAUGAUGAUUGAACCUUAAAGCACCCAUAUCCUGCAUCAUUUCUUUCCCCUCUCUAGUCUAAAUCUCCUUGUUAGGGAGGAUUAUGUCUCCAUUAAUUCUCCUAGUAUAGCCAAAACUCCAUGAGAUUUUGAAGUAUAAGAGACCCAAGGUUCCAAGGUACUUGAUGAUGGACCUAGUGAUGAGAUUGGUUGAUUUCAUGGUACCCGGUUGAGGUAAAAUUGGUUGGCAUCCCGAGGUGAGGCCACUGCCUAAAGGGCCAAAAGACCACAUGCAAAAAGGGUACUGUGCGACAUGUCAUUCCCUGCUGCCCAUGAGGAGAAGAGGUAAAUCCUUGAGUGUGUGGGUGAGGCUAGGCAGGGCCAAGAAACCUCAUGCAAAAGAGGUGCUACAUGACGUGUUAUCCCUUACUGCCCAUGGAAGGGAUAGGUAAAUCCGUGAGGGUGUGGGUGAGGCUUGGCAAGGCCAAUAGACCACAUGCCAAAAGAGGUACAUAUCAUGCUAGUGUAUUUGGGCUCUAACUUGUUUGUGGCGGUAUGAUGUCUGGGUGAUAUCUCGGUCCUUGUUGCAUCUUGGUUAAGGUUUUCUAUUGAAAUGGUAUUGGAUAUUUUUAUGGCUCACAGUGAAUGGAAUGUAAUUUUAUAGUUAUUUUUGGAAGCUUGGUACUAAACUAUUCCUAUCGUUCUUGUCAUGUGGCUAAUGAAAUUGUUUUUGCAUAAAUUAAAUGGAAAUUCCCAAAUUGUAACAUGUUUUGUAAAAUGUUCAUUAUCAUGAAACUUUCAUUUCCCCCACCCCCAUUAAUUAUACUACUUAUUGGACUUUAGCUCAUUCCACUCUC